UAUAGCUCGGUUUUGCCCCCUAGCCUAAGAACUUCCAUAUGCCAUAGGUGCGGCUCUAAAAAGCCAAAAAGAAAAAAGAAAAAAGACACACUCAUCAAACAACAAGAAACAAGGGAGGUAAGUGGUAUCAUCACCCUGGCUUACAGCCCUGAGCCCACUCCCAGCACCAGCACAAGGAGGGGACACAGGUGGAGCCCAUAAUUUCCCAGAGUAGAACCAGUAGAGCUGAGGUCAGGGGUCAUAUAAAAGAUAUCAAUGUCAAAUCUACUGAAGGUGAUAACUGUGCAAUUUUUAAAUAAGAUAAUAUCCUCUUCUUAGGAAAUACACCCUCUUGCCAGGGACUUGGUUUUUAACCUCGCUCUUUAGUAGAAGGAUUCUGAAAGAAAGCCAGUAAAAUGCACCUAAGCCAUUAAAAAAAACUGUAUGUAAAUUAUCCUCAAAUGGUUGAGAAAUAAAUUUGUAUGCGUGUGAGGGUGGGAUGUGCAUGCGUGUACAGCGAAAGUAAUGUUUGCAAUACUUAUUUACACAAUGAAUAGAGGAUUUUCAAAAGGAAUAAAAAUUGACAUCCUGGAUGAUUAAAAAAUAAGAGAACUCAUGGAAUUUACAAGUGUCAGAAAAUAAGAAAAAAUGUAUACUCAAAAGUAGUAUGGGAUUGGUUUUUAAAUUUUUUCUGAUUAGCACUUGCAAAUUCUUUGUGCUAUAUUUGGUGAUUCUUGGAUCUUCCAAGAGUAAUUAUAACUAAAAUUCUAGAAUCCAUUCAUUUUGACAACACACAAAUAGAAACACAAUUAUGGAGCUACCAUUCUAGUAUUAUAAAGCAUACCAAAAUUUACAUUAAAGAUGUGGUUAUAUAUGCAGAGAUCUGACAAAUUCUUCAUGGGUCAACUUACUAUCAAAGACUUGACUAUUCAGAAACCAUAAUUACCAAAGAAUACUGUUGUUUGUUUUUUGAGGUAUGAAUUAUCCAUUCUGUUUGUUUGAGUAUUACAGAAUUCGUCUUUGCACCAUGCGCUAUAAAUUCAAUAUAUGGCAUCCAAGUAAGGAGCAUGAUGACAGAUUCAUGGGUAGAAGGGGAACUUUCCCUUUGGGUAACCAUUGAGUAAUGGUGGUUUUGGAAAGAAAUAGAAGAAACAUGAGCUAAACUAGCAAAAGCAAAAGUAAAACAAAAUGCAGUACAUCUACCACUAUAUUUUCAACUUCCAUUCUUCAUCUAUCAUUUCUCAACCUGGUGGAUUUCACUGUCAACCCCAAACUUUCUUUUCCAUGGUGAUACCUACAUGUACUUUAGGUCAAACCAUUCUCAAAUUUGGUUUGAGUCUGCCUGUACAGAACUGGAAAAGACUUCCGACUACCCUUGCCCUGAACAGGAGGUAGUGAGAAAAAAUAUCUUCAUUUAUCAGCUGAAAGUGCUCAAAGAAAUAGGACAACCUUCUUGGCAUGCUUUGGAAUAACUUUAUAUAAUAAGACAUAAUUUUCUUGGAGUGCUUCACCCUGCAGUUCUAAUGUUUUAAUAAAAAGUCCCUGGGGUAACGUUGUCAAGAGAGCGAUGUAGGUCAUUCUCAAGUCCCAUCCCCGCACAAGAAGGCCCACUAGGAACUAACCAUGGACAAGACACCAUUAUGAACAUCCUAGAACCCAGAGGUGAGGCGGAAGCACCCCCAGGGCAACAGAGAUGAACAAGGACAACUCAGCAGGCAGAGAGGAGCAGCAGCUCGCUGACCACGUGGCCACACAGAGCAAGCCCCUCAAGCCAGCGGUUUCUCCAGGGGAGAAGUGGGAAUCCAGGUGAUCUUGGAGAGACAGCAAGGAGCAAUGGCUUGGGGCAAGGUCUUAAAUCUCUGCUCAGGAGUUGAACCUGGGCAGCCUGGGUGAAAACCGGAAAUCCCAGCCGCUAGACUAACUAGAGGCUAGAAGCAGAAUUUCCCUGAUUCUUGCCCCCUGUUGAAAGCAUGAGUGUUUCAAGGAGGCAAAGACUGAAAAAAGGUAUAAAGUUUAUUGUUAGAGUCACAGUGCAACAUGUGGGAGAUCACACAGAGAAGGAGUUUAAUUAAGUCAGAAGCAAAGCAGUAACACACACCCUAAGGAGGAGCGCGGGUGUGGGCGUCCCCCUGAGAGAGGAGCGCACCAGAGAGGUGAUUUAACUCACUUAUAUAGGACGUUUCUUCCAAGUCUUUGUUUACCUUUAGCCAAUUAUCUUGUUUUAUUUCUCACACCCGACUGGACACAGGACCCUCCCCAAUACUCGUGCGCCACUUUUGGCAAAGAUGGAUUCCAGAGCAAAGGAUGCCAGGAUGGUAUCAGGACUUAUUAUGGCCUGGCGCCCCCUCCCUUUCUGACCCCUAGGAGUGUUACUGCACAUGUGUUAUUGGGGAGGUCUCUUAGACCUCAGGAGUGAUUGAAUGGUCAUCCUAUCGUUCUACUCCAGCAGAACUCAGCUCCUGCCAUUAACUUUCUCCUAGAAGCACCAAAGAGAAGCAAGGCCCAAGUUAGUCAGCCUGACAAGUCCCAGCUAUUCUCAGCCCAGGAGCCCAUCUACCUCCUCCCUCACAAGGUAGACAUCCAUCUGCUGCAGGAGCUCUUGGGAGGUCACUUAGGUCUCAUCUUCCAGGUAUCCCUGGGGGAAUCUGCAGAGCUUGACUGCUGGAGUCAAACAGAGACAGAGAAGGGAGGUGGGGCUUACAGCAGGCAGAGCCUCCUUUGAAGCAUCGCAGGGCUCAGAGCCUACCUUUGUGCCUAAAGACAUUUUCAAGGCUUUCCAGUAAAGUCUCCAAGCCAAUUUUACCCUUGAACACAUUUUGAACAUCCUCAACCUCAAACUCAAGUUUACCAGUGGCCUCACUGGAGGCUUUUCCCACAGCCACCUGCAGCACCUGCAGCCCAGCAGGGCUGAAGAGAAGCACAGCCAGAAUUGACACAAAACAACCCCUGGAUGGGGAAUUUUGAGAAUCUCCCCACCCACUCACCAAAAAGAACAAUCCCCAAAACUGAAGAGAGACUGUGUCACUCUAUGGAAAUACUUUUUCAGAAACUACAUCAGCCACUUUUGUAAAUGACACUAGCCCUUCUCAUGGCUGUAUCUUCAAAGAGAGUAAUUGGUUAAGAAUAACCUGCUUAAUUGUUCUUAAGACACUGAAAGCUAAGGCUGCCCAUUUGGGCUCAGGAUAUAUUGCAUACAUAUGUGUGUGUAAUGUCAUGGCUGUGCACACACACACAAACACACACACACACACAUUUGUUUUCACUCCAAACAUGAAAUGGGAUUCUUAAUGAUUUUAAUAAUUCCUAUCUUGAUGGUUUCCUAUAUCUUCAAAAUUUUCUGUAAGAAAAAGGAAGGAAGAAAUAAGGAAGGAGAGAAGAAUGAGAGACGAAGAGAGAGAGAAUGAGAAGGAAGGGAGAGGAUGAGAGGAGAGUUACAGAGAGACAGACUGCCAAAGCUAGUCCUUUCAGAAAAGGAAGUUAGUUCAUGGAGUUCCCAUCAUGGCCCAGUGGUUAAUGAAUCCGACUAGGAAUCAUGAGUUUGCGGGUUCCAUCCCUGGCCUUGCUCAGUGGGUUAAGGAUCCGGCGUUGCCGUGAGCUGUGGUGUAGGUUGCAGACACGGCUGGGAUCCCUCGUUGCUGUGGCUGUGGCGUAUGCCGGCAGCUACAGAUCAGAUUAGACGCCUAGCCUGGGAACCUCCAUCUGCCACGGAAGCGGCCCUAGAAAAGGCAAAAAGACAAAAAAAAAAAAGAAAAAGAAAAAAGAAAAGGAAGUCGGUUCAGCUAAAAGCCCGCCUCCCAGCUGCCUUGAAGGAAGCAUCUGGGAAAACUCAAUAAUGCCCUUACACAGUCAUGCCUCCUGCUUCUGCCCAUUUCUGAAGACGUUUUCCCGCAUAAGCAUGCAGGAAAGAUCAUUUUACCUCUCACUCAAGACAAAAGCUGCUUAAGAGUCCUCUAAUUUAGGUUAGCUAAAGUCCAGCUGAAGACUUCUCUUUUUUAAGAUUUUUAUUUAUUUUUAUUAUAGUUGAUUUGCAAUGUUCUGUCAAUUUCUGCUAUACAGCAAAGUGACCCAGUCAUACAUAUAUAUACAUUCUUUUUCUCAUAUUAUCUUCCAUCAUGUUCCAUCACAAGUGAUUGGACAUAGUUCCCUGUGCUAUACAGCAGAAUCUCAUUGCUUAUCCACACCAAAUGCAAGAAUUUGCAUCUACUAACUCCAAACUCCCAGUCCAUCCCACUCCCUCCCCCUUCCUCUUGGCAAUCACAAGUCUGUUUUCCAAGUCCAUAAGUUUGUUUCUUUUCUAUAGGUAGGUUCAUUUGUGCAAUAUAUUAGAUUCCACAUAAAAGUGAUAUAUGGUAUUUGUCUUUCUCUUUCUGACUUACUUCACUUAGUAUGAGAGUCUCUAGUUCCAUCCAUGUUGCUGCAGAUGCCAUUAUUUUGUUCUUUUUUGUGACUGAGUAGUAUUCCAUUGUGUGCAUAUACCACAUCCUCUUAAUCCAUUCAUCUGUUGGUGGAUAUUUAGGUUGUUUCCAUGUCUCGGCUAUUGUGAAUAGUGCUACAGUGAACAUAAGGGUGCAUGUAUCUUUGUCAAUGAAAGUUGUGUCCAGAUAUAUGCCUAGGAGUGAGAUUGCUGGGUCAUGUGGUAGUUCUAAGUUUAGUUUUCUGAGGGAUCUCCAUAUUGUUUUCCACAGUGGUUGUACCAAUUUACAUUCCCACCAACAGUGAAGGAGGGUACCCUUUUCUCCACACCCUCUCCAGCAUUUGUUAUUUGUUGAGUUGUUAAUGAUGGCCAUUCUGACUGGUAUGAGGUGACCUCACAGUCAUUUUGAUUUGCAUUUCUCUAGUAACUAGUGGUGUUGAGCAUUUUUUCAUGUGCCUGUUGGCCAUCUGUCCAGCUGGCCAAUUUUUGACACCGAUUUUAGUGUUGCUUCUCCGAGUCAAGCUUCAGAUACUCAAAGGUAAUAAUUUUUUUAAAGAACCACAACAAGAUGAAUUAAUGGUCUCUACUUCUUUUCUCCUUUGCAGCUGACUCACAGGAUUGUUCUGUGGCCACUGAAAAUCAGUCCUUUCAAGAAUGAUACUGGCCCACUGACCAGUGAACAGCAUUGCUAACAGGACAAAGAAUGCUCUGAAAAUUCACUCUACAUGCAUGGACCUCCAGCUUCAGAACUGUACUUAGCAUCAGAUUCCCCAGCCCACGCCUGCUGCCUCUGGCCUAGCUGCCUCAAUAAGGAAAACAGGUCCACAUUCCAGGGUCUCACCAACCCGGACAGGACCAGUUUACACUGAUAGAUGUCUUUUGUCACCUUCCCUUACAGGCUGGGGUCAUUUAAAUCUUCGAAAUGGAUGAAGUCAAACGUGACCGGUGCUCCCGUUUGAUGAAGCAGGGACAGAGCUGAGGAGCCAACCAUACUGACAGAAGAAGAAAAUAUUCUUCAGACCCAUCCAUCAGCUUUCAGACCUUCUGACACGCUGAUCUCCUGUGCUAGUAAAAGUGUCUGCAUCGAACACAGACAAAAGCAUAGAUUGCGUUUCUUUCUUUCUUUCUUGCCUUUUUUUGUGAAUUUCUUUUAUAUCAAAAAUAUGUGAUUUUUAAAAUUAAUAAUCCAUGUAAUCCUUUUAACUCUGUAAUACACUUCAGAGUAUUUUUUUGCUAAACACUUGGAAUUGUGUUCUAACAUUAAGGGGCUCGUUACAGUGUUGCUUAUAUUUUUUUUAAAAUAUGGAAUCAGGAGUUCCCUGGUAGCUCAGUGGGUUAAGGAUCUGGCAUUGUCACUGCUGUGGUUCAGUAACCACUGCCUCCCUUUCUGCAGAUUAGGAAAUCUAGGCUCUGAGGAUUGAAGUGAAGGGUCAAAGGUUAUUGCAGCAUUCAGGAUGAUGUAUUUCUGAAUAUCUGCAAAUGAUAAUACUUUGUCCUCUCAUUUAUUACUUAAAAAAAAUCAUAUCAAAAAUGUACCUGGGAGUUCCCGCUGUGGUGCAGUUGGUUAAGGACCCAGCAUUGUCUCUGCAGCAACUUGGGUUGCUGCUGGUGUUUGAGUUCAAUUUCGGGCUGGCCCAGUGCUGUGGGUUAAGGAUCCAGUGUUGCCUCAUCUGUGGCAUAGACCCCAGCUGCAGCUCAGAUUUAAUCCCUGGCCUGGGAAAUCCAUGUGCCUCCGGUGCGGCCAAAAAAGAGGAAAAAAAAAAAAA
rnacentral:lncRNA from 1 species